GACGAACGCUGGCGGCGUGCUUAACACGUGCAAGUCGAACGGAAAGGCCCUGCUUUUGUGGGGUGCUCGAGUGGCGAACGGGUGAGUAACACGUGAGUAACCUGCCCUUGACUUUGGGAUAACUUCAGGAAACUGGGGCUAAUACCGGAUAGGAGCUCCUGCUGCAUGGUGGGGGUUGGAAAGUUUCGGCGGUUGGGGAUGGACUCGCGGCUUAUCAGCUUGUUGGUGGGGUAGUGGCUUACCAAGGCUUUGACGGGUAGCCGGCCUGAGAGGGUGACCGGCCACAUUGGGACUGAGAUACGGCCCAGACUCCUACGGGGGGCAGCAGGGGGGAAUAUUGCACAAUGGGCGGAAGCCUGAUGCAGCGACGCCGCGUGCGGGAUGACGGCCUUCGGGUUGUAAACCGCUUUCGCCUGUGACGAAGCGUGAGUGACGGUAAUGGGUAAAGAAGCACCGGCUAACUACGUG
rnacentral:rRNA from 1 species